rnacentral:rRNA from 1 species
UACGUAGGGUGCAAGCGUUAAUCGGGAUUACUGGGCGUAAAGCGUGCGCAGGCGGUUUUGUAAGUCUGACGUGAAAUCCCCGGGCUCAACCUGGGAAUUGCGUUGGAGACUGCAAGGCUAGAAUCUGGCAGAGGGGGGUAGAAUUCCACGUGUAGCAGUGAAAUGCGUAGAGAUGUGGAGGAACACCGAUGGCGAAGGCAGCCCCCUGGGUCAAGAUUGACGCUCAUGCACGAAAGCGUGGGGAGCAAACAGG